rnacentral:snRNA from 1 species
AAAAAGGGCUUCUGUCAUGAGUGACACAUGUAGGGCAGCUUGCUUGCUCUAUGUGCAGAAUCGACAUCAAGAAAUUUCGGAAGCAUAUAUAUAUAUUUU